CCUACGGUGGGCAGCAGUGAGGAAUAUUGGUCAAUGGGCGAGAGCCUGAACCAGCCAAGUCGCGUGAGGGAGUACUUCCCUAUGUGUUGUAAACCUCUUUUGUCGGGGAGCAAAAGCCGGACGUGUCCGGCUGUGAGAGUACCCGAAGAAAAAGCAUCGGCUAACUCCGUGCCAGCAGCCGGGGUAAUACGGAGGAUGGGAGCGUUAUCCGGAUUUAAUGGGUUUAAAGGGUGCGCGGGAGGAUUUUUAAGUCAGCGGUCAAAGCGUGGGGCUCAACCCCAUCCAGCCGUUGAAACUGGGGAUCUAGAGUGUGCGAGAGGUAUGCGGAAUGCGUGGUGUAGCGGUGAAAUGCAUAGAUAUCACGCAGAACCCCGAUUGCGAAGGCAGCAUACCGGUGCACAACUGACGCUCAGGCACGAAAGCGUGGGUAUCGAACAGGAUUAGAUACCCGUGUAGUC
rnacentral:rRNA from 1 species